rnacentral:rRNA from 1 species
UACGGGGGGAGCAAGCGUUGUUCGGAUUUACUGGGCGUAAAGGGCGCGUAGGCGGCGUGACAAGUCACUUGUGAAAUCUCCGGGCUUAACUCGGAACGGUCAAGUGAUACUGUCGGACUAGAGUACAGAAGGGGCAACUGGAAUUCUCGGUGUAGCGGUGAAAUGCGUAGAUAUCGGGAGGAACACCUGUGGCGAAAGCGGCGCACUGGACCAUAACUGACGCUGAGGCGCGAAAGCUAGGGGAGCAAACAGG